AAGGUUGAGGGGCUGCACCUGGUGGGGGCUUUCUCGAUUGUAAGGACUUUCUGCGGAGUUGCAAGGCAGAGCAGGGUGCAAGAUUUUUAAGAGAAUUAAAUGAGAGUGUUGGAAUUCUGGAGCUACAAAGAUUAAACCAGCUAAACAUAGAAUGAGAGAUGUAUGAGAAGUGAAGGGCCUUCUGUUACUACAACCUCUCAUUUUUAAGCCGAAGCUAGACUGUACUGCCGCCAUCUCUGCUCACUGCAACCUCCCUGCCUGAUUCUCCUGCCUCAACCUGCCGAGUGCCUGCGAUUGCAGGCGUGCGCCGCCACGCCUGACGGGUUUUCAUAUUUUUUUGGUGGAGACGGGGUUUCGCUGUGUUGGCCGGACUGGUCUCCAGCUCCCAACCGGGAGUGAUCUGCCAGCCUCGGCCCCCCGAGGUGCCGGGAUUGCAGAUGGAGUCUCAUUCACUCAGUGCUCAAUGUUGCCCAGGCUGGAGUGCAGUGGCGUGAUCUCGGCUCGCUACAACCUCCACCUCCCAGCCGCCUGCCUUGGCCUCCCAAAGUGCCGAGAUUGCAGCCUCUGCCCGGCCACCACCCCGUCUGGGAAGUGAGGAGCAUCUCUGCCUUGCCGCCCAGUCUGGGAAGUGAGGAGCGCCUCUUCCCCGCCGCCAUCCCGUCUAGGAAGUGAGGAGCGUCUCUGCCCAGCCUCCCAUCGUCUGAGAUGUGGGGAGCGCCACUGCCCCGCUGCCCCGUUUGGGAUGUGAGGAGCGCCUCUGCCCGGCCACGACCCCGUCUGGGAGGUGAGGAGCGUCUCUGCCCGGCCGCCCCAUCUGAGAAGUGAGGAGCCCCUCCGCCUGGCAGCCACCCCAUCUGGGAAGUGAGGAGUGUCUCCACCCAGCAGCCACCCCGUCCAGGAAGUGGGGGGUCAGCCCCCACCCUGCCAGCCGCCCCGUCCGGGAGGGAGGUGGGGGCCAGCCCCUGCCCGGCCAGCCACCCCAUCUGGGAGGGAGGUGGGGGGCCAGCUCCCGCCCGGCCAGCCACCCCAUCCAGGAGGUGGGGGGCGCCUCUGCCUGGCCACCCCUUCUGGGAAGUGAGGAGCCCCUCUGCCCAGCCACCACCCCGUCUGGGAGGUGUACCCAACAGCUCAUUGAGAACAGGCCAUGAUGACGUGGUGGUUUUGUCGAAUAGAAAAGGGGGAAAUGUGGGGAUAAGAUAGAGAAAUCAGAUUGUUGCUGUGUCUGUGUAGAAA
rnacentral:lncRNA from 1 species